UUUAGUUUUAGCCUGCCUGUCCACCAGAGCGGAGCUAGUGAGCAUAGCGGAGAAACGGAGUAAUGCGGAGCGGAGUUGCGUACUGUCUCUUUCCACCGAAGAGGAGCGAGGCUCCGGAGCGAAGUGAGAAAAUAAUGUGCAGCCGAGUUGCAGACGUGAUUCCCCGCUUCGCUUACCCUUUUUAUAUGAAUUUUUAAACUAGCUCGCAAGUCUGUCUACUUAAGAACAGCGGAGAUUUUAUGCAAUCCUAAUAAUAAUUAAUAUUUCUGUUUCUCUGCUCCGCUGCCUCGCUCCGCUUCGGUGGACCGGCAGCCUUAACCAUAGACUUGUAUUGAACUUGAUGCCACCUUUUCAUCCAAUCAUGGCUUUUUUAUGUCAUUACUUUCGCCAAUUUAUUGUGACUGUGCUAGAUCUCACUACGACCACAGUACAUUAAAAGAGAGUAGUACUACCAAGUACCAAGGCUUUAAGUUAUUCUAUAAUAUGUGUAAUUUUUUUCACUUUGACGACCCUUCUAGUGCAGUUGCCACAAAGAAUAACCUUGGUUACAAACAGGGUGAUUGUGGGAUUGAUUCCCAGCCUGGGUCAAUGUAGGAUUGUACAUUAUUUAAAUUCCCUUUAAGGAGAAGAAGACUUGUAUAUAUGAAGGCCUGACUCUGUAGGCCGUUAAAAUAGCUCUUAAUCAUCAUCAUUGUUAGAUUAGACAGAGAAGCAUUAAACAAAAAAAUCCAUAAAUUGCUUAAAAAACGCCUUAAAUGAACGCUACUACGCUAAGAUCACUGACAAACCGUCAGGGUGUGAGUUACAAGCAUGUUGCCAUGAUAAAAAUUGUUAAUAAAUGUUGUCAGCUAAUGAAAAAAAUACAUUUUAUUUAGUUCAUUUAAAAAAAAUGCGGGUUCCAAAAAAAAAUAUUUUGGGUUUUAAGCCCUAUAUUUUUUAUGUUAUAAGAUAAAAAUAAAUUGUUCUGCUUAGUUGACACUCGGAAUAAAGGCCCAGCCUCCAUACAAAAUUGGGACAUGUCCUUUGGAAUGGAAAUAGAUUUUACUUUACUUUCAUACCGGGAAAGUUCAUGGUUCCCAUGGGAUUUGUGAAAAACUGACUUCCACGCGGACGAAGUCGCGGGUAUCCGCUAGUAGGUUAUAUAAUCUUUGCAUCACCACUUGGCAAUUACGUAAUUAGGAACGCUGUGCAGUCAAGUGUUAACUUUCGGUUUGCGUGAAAUCCGUCUUAUCAAGUUUUUGUUAUGUGAGGUUAUUAUGUUAUUAUUUUUGUACUUUUGUUAAAAAUAGACACAAACCACUAAAUGCCUAAAAAUAGAAAAAUCAAUCAUUUUGCUCUGAAAUGGCUUCCAAAAAACCCGGUAAAUGGGCAUUUAGCACUAAUCUUGCACGCUUGGUUAAAUAAAUUGCAAUUUGCAAUAUCUACUUAUAUAAUAUAUAAGUAGUGUAACAGAAUUGUGUAGGUACAUGGAAAUCCCUGUAAAAACAGGAAAAUGUAGCAUGAGGAUGAAUAUACACACUUGAGUAACAUGUAUUAUAGAACUAAGAAAUACUAACAUUUGCUGUUUGCAAUCAACUACAGAAUGCAGUCAAGUAUCCAGUAAAAGAUUGAAAUUAUAAUUAUUCGUUGGCUAGUUAUAACUCAGGGGCACUCAGCAAAAAUAUGGGGCCUCUGGACUACAUGGGCCCCUUACGUGUUUUUCCGUGUGCCUCGUAUUCGUACUCGUAGUGCUAAGUCACUGUCAUAUUUAUUUUAAGCGAGCAUUUUUGUUUCUUUCGUGAGAAAUAUUUACCCUUCAUUUGGGCCCCCCAAAUAAUUUUGAUAUCGGGCCCCUCUAGGGCACGCUACGCCACUGUUAUAACAAAUUAGAGCCAGUGCCAGUGACACUGAGCCCGUCAACUCGUAGCAUGGUGGACUCUAAAUUCUUCUCGUUUAUAGAAGAGCCAUGAGCCCUGGAUCUGUAUCUUAUGAUGAUGAUGAUGAUGAUAAUAAUAACAAUGGGUGGCGUGAUAUUCUUUAAGUGGCAUCUAUCAAGUGGUUAUUCUGUAUUUAAUAUAAUCAAGUUGUCUUCAACUCGCCUCGACCUUACAAAGGGUCGGUGUGCUUUGCGAAGGUCACAGAUAUACGACAUAAUGUAUUACGUGGUCGUUAUUUGUAUGCCACUAGAUAUAAGUUAACACGGCAUAAAUAACACAAAAAUAGCAACAAGCACGAAUAAGCUUAGCGAAUGUGGUUACGAUUUUCAUAAGUAGUAUCUCGUUUUGAUCUGGUGAAAAUUAACUACCAAGUGUACAUGUUUCCCAAAGAGCCAUGGAAAGGAGCAUGCUAGGCCUAAAAAUAAAACAUAAAAUAAAAAAUAAAAUAAUAAGGAACAGGACAAAAGUUAUAGACGCGGCCAAACUAGCAUGUCUCCUAAAA